UACGUAGGGUGCAAGCGUUGUCCGGAAUUAUUGGGCGUAAAGAGCUCGUAGGCGGUCUGUCGCGUCUGCUGUGAAAACCUAGGGCUUAACUCUGGGCGUGCAGUGGGUACGGGCAGGCUAGAGUGCGGUAGGGGAGACUGGAAUUCCUGGUGUAGCGGUGAAAUGCGCAGAUAUCAGGAGGAACACCGGUGGCGAAGGCGGUUCUCUGGGCAUUACCUGACGCUGAGGAGCGAAAGCAUGGGGAGCGAACAGG
rnacentral:rRNA from 1 species